CACAGGGACUUCGAUGGUCGGUGAUGGUGAUGAAGUGCUCAGUCGUGAUGAAGAGUGAUGAGGUGAAUAAUCCAGCAGAAGUGAAGACACAGACGAUCAGGAGCGUAAACAGGCUGAACCGUUUCUUCUGCAGUAUGCCACGUAAUGUCCAAGAGAUUGUCUUGUUGGUCCUGAAAUGAAUGCGACAACCCCUCGCAAAGUGAACAGCUGAUUGUCCAGCUCCAUGUGGACCGGGAUUUCCGAAAGUGGAUGGUUUGUAUCCAUACUUGUUUCGAUACACAACAGUUGUCCAGUUAUGCAUCUGUGUGUUACCGAGCCAUUACAGAGGAAUUUCACUGAUUGAUCAUCCUUAACUUUCCAGCUGUCUGGACACUCUUGGGGUGAUUUCAGUGGCUUCAAGCAUUUGGACCUGUUGAGGUGUAGACCAUCUUCCAGCGCUGCUUGGAGGCUCUUCAGUCCACCAGUUUGUAAAAUAUCUACAUUUACUGGUAGGAGAUAGAUGGUCCUAGACGAUUUCGUAUGUCGGCUGCAGUAUGGAGAAGAGCACUCAGCUGUAAGUGUUGCACUUGGCAUUUCUUUCAUUGUGGAAGCGAUAAUGUCUGCAACAUUGCAAUCCGCAUUGACCUGCCUCACACCUGAUUUUAGGUGAACACACUCAAAUGUAUCCAACAGCAUUUUUGCCCUCUUUGCAUAAGCCUCUUUUGCAACUCCUUUUGUCACUAUGGUCUUUACUAAAUCAACCAUGUCAGUUUGCUCUCUGUUGAGAUAAUGACAAAAUGACCCACUGUUGCAGAAUGCAGAGCAAAGGCACUGGCAAAAGGAAUCAAAGGCACAGGUAUUAUUUACACUUACAAGCAUUUUGUCAACCAAGAUGGGCUUAUUAGCCUGGUAGUUGCCAUUUUUCAUGACAUUAAUUCUUGUCUUUUUUCUUUUCAGGUUUAUGUCUGCAUGCAACCACUCAGAGCAAGGGGUCAAGUAGGACAGUCGCUUUUUUGGAGGAACACCGAGGCCUUUCCAGUUUUCAACAGGGUCUUCCUCCACUGACUGUUGUUUAACCUCUGUGUCCUGCUCACUAUGGGCCGUUUUUGUCUUCUGAUUCUUUGUCUCAGUGUGCUCUGUCUUCACCGGUGCAGAGGAAAGCCUCAUGUUUCCCUCAAGAAACUCAAGGUGGCGUAUGACAAAACGGUCAAUUCGGAUGGGGAGACUUUCAUGUUUGAAAAGACCAUGUUUUAUGUUUUUAAAUUCAGCCUCAACAUUUGCAGAGCUUGCUGUGUUGUGUACACUUUUGAAGUGUGGAACCAUCACAGCUGUCCAAAGAGAUCUGUGUGAAGUGUCUCCUCGACUCCAGUCACCUCUGUUAAAUGGUCAUCUUCAGUGACACAUGGCAAGACCCCCUCUGCAAAUUGUCUCUUCAAUUGUGCUUUGCAUGUUUCCGAGACAACAGCAUUCCCACCGGCUAAUGAGCUUGAUGCAGUGUGCAACAUCUACUCUGAUGAAGCAAGGUGGCAGCUUUGAUUCUUCAGGCUUUCCUGCCAGCACUCCAAAGCACUGAUUGAUGUAUGUUUUCAAGUCUGGGUAAGGAGUGAAGGCCUUAACCAGUGCUCCAAGCAAAGCCAAGGAGAAAUCACAGACCGCUUCUUUGGGAACCGCAGCACCUGCUCGUUGCCAUUCAGUAAGCCAGUUGGAAAUAGAAUUGAUGGUGUGGCUCUCUGAUAGCAUUUGCACUACUGGAAUAUGAUCUCCCUGUGAACACAAAACUCCUUCAUACAGGAAGACAUGUCCAGAAUUGCCACAGGGUCUUCUCAGUCUUUUCACAACUGUACCUGUUGCAUCAAAACUCAUAAAUGAGCCAGAGUACUUGGAUUUCAUUUGAUACACUUGCAUCUGAGAUGGGGUCCAGUAAUGACAAAAAAACCUAUCAAGGCCUAUGUCAUGAAUGCUUCCAUUGUGGGGUACACUGUAUUUUAGUAGAUGCAAUGACAUGAUUGGGUCUUUGUCUCCAAGCUCUUUGUCACCCAUCUCUUGUUUGGCUUUUCUUAAUGUUGCCAGAUUUGGCAGGUGGCUAGGCUCUGGGUCACCAACAUCCAUCAUUUUGUAAGCCUCAGUUGCUCGCCAUACAUGUGCUGGUUUUCGGCCUUCCCAGAGUUCUUUAGAGACACGUGUUCUCAGAUCCCCUGAUAACUUCCGUUUUGCUUUUCCAGUAUGGAGACUGUCAUCAACAUUGCGGAUUAUGCAUUGAAGCACAACUGGUUCAUUAUCCACUGGCAUUUUAUCUGCUUUUAUAGACAAUUGUGUGUCACACUCUGUACAGUGCCCAAUUAUGUCUAUGUAGUGAGAUGCAACAUUUGGAAAGAUUUUUGCCCUCCUGAAUCUAAGAGUGCAUGAGGUCUUGAUAUUUUUCCAUAUCUCCUCAUACAGGACGUGUGUCCAUGCACCACGUUUCAGGAUGGUGUAUUCUCUCUUACAUGUGUUUAGUGAUUUGUCAUUGUAAUCAACUUUUUCAGGCCAGAUUUCUAGCCAUUUCUGAUGAGACUGAUCUCAAGUGUAAUGUCGUAGCAUUGACUUUGCUGAUUUGUGUCUGCUGAAUGAAAAUCUGCUGAGCUUUCUUGUGAGCUGUCACAGUUUGUACCUUGAUCUUGGGUGUCUGUGUCGAUUUUGCAUAGAUCAAGGAUUUGCCAUAUAUUGUGCCUGUUUGUCUUCACAAUAGUAUAAAGGUUCUUUGGUGAAACUUU